GGUGACGUAGGUGAUUGAUUUUUAAAGGGUCAUACGAUAGAUAAACGGAUUUGUAAUCCGUAGGUUCGGGGUUCGAUUCCCCGCGCCAGCUCCA
rnacentral:tRNA from 1 species